rnacentral:rRNA from 1 species
CCUACGGGUGGCAGCAGUGAGGAAUAUUGGUCAAUGGCCGUAAGGCUGAACCAGCCAAGUCGCGUGAAGGAAGAAGGAUCUCUGGUUUGUAAACUUCUUUUAUAGGGGGAUAAAGGUAUCCUUGUGUGGAUAUUAGCAUGUACCCUAUGAAUAAGCAUCGGCUAACUCCGUGCCAGCAGCCGCGGUAAUACGGAGGAUGCGAGCGUUGUCCGGAUUUAUUGGGUUUAAAGGGUCCGUAGGUUGUGUUUUAAGUCAGCUGUGAAAGUUUGUGGCUCAACCAUAAAAUUGCCGUUGAUACUGGAAGACUUGAGUGUGUUUGAGGUAGGCGGAAUGCGAGGUGUAGCGGUGAAAUGCAUAGAUAUCACGCAGAACUCCGAUUGCGAAGGCAGCUUACUAAGCCAUAACUGACACUGAAGCACGAAAGCGUGGGGAUCAAACAGGAUUAGAUACCCUUGUAGUC